rnacentral:miRNA from 1 species
ACAGUGAUCACGUUACGAUGGAU